UCUAGAGCUUACAUGCAUGCAUUUAAAAUAAUCACAAAUCAAAUGAAAUAGUAAUCUACUCAAAAUCAUACCAUGGGCAUUAAAGAUAAUAAUUUACCCAAAUAAUUCCAACCCAAUGAGAUUUAGCUCAUGGAUUGGACAUUCGAAUCCAAAACAAAACCUUUCAACAUCAUCAUUUAAGUUCAUGAAUCACAAAGUUCAAAUCAGAAAAUAAAGGUAGAACUGUAGAAAGCUCUCGCUGCCCCAACUUUCACUUUAAUAAUGAGAUUUGAUGCAAAACCCAGGGCAGAUUUCUCUUCCCCUUCCC
rnacentral:lncRNA from 1 species